rnacentral:lncRNA from 1 species
UCUAUUUCCUUGUCAAUAAUGGUGUCAACAAACAGAUGAAUCUCCUCUUCAUUUUCACAGCCAUUUACAAGAUCAAUUAAUUCUUUAUCUCGUGUCAAAAGCUUCCAACCUGCACCAUCAUCUUGGAUAUAUACUCCUCCAAUUUCUGACAAAUGAAGGUAAUCCUUGACAUAUUCCAUAAGCACCGUAUAUGAAAAUUCUGCAGAAUCCACAGC